UUGUUUGUUUUCCAACUUUGCAUUUGAUUUCUCACCUCAGGUUAGUAAUUUGUCCAACUGUUUUGGCAGAUCUUAUGAGAACAGAGCAGAGAAAUAUGUGUGAAUCAGCUGUUUGGUGCUUGACGAACUGACCAGCUUUUCGCCUUCAGAAAGUACGAGUUGUGUACAAAAAGAUAAAGACAGAGAAAACAGCACUUUGGCCUUCACAGAGACUGGAAGAGACAAGUGCCUGUGGCGUUGUGUUUGGACACACCCACGGAGUGGACUCUGUUCGGCCGAAAGAAAAGGUCACAGAAAUGUCAUGCAGUCAUGUCCUUGAGACGAGGUGGAAGAGAUGCGAUUGGGCCCGGACCCGUCAUCAUCAAGGAGACAGGUGGCCAAGGAGGAAUCGGUCACUAAUGCGGUCGGCUAACUGUGUCAAGGACGUAGAACCCAAACCUGGUACAGUUCACCUGUGAGAGACCUGAGAGCACGAACGCAGAGAGGAACUGACCCACUAAACCAACUUACAACUCUACAGUCUGCACUCUUCUUGAAAUUAAAGCAGUGGGAGACUGAUGAGUCCACCUGGACUCCCUGGUGUGUGAGAUGUCCCUGUGAGAGUGAAACACACCGUCCAUUCCGCCUCACUAAGUGUGUGUUUGGAGUCAGAGGCACAAUCCACGCUGCUGUGCCCACAGAUGGUCACACUACAGGAGCAACAUUUUGUUCUGUCUCCCAAUGGUGAGAAAGAGAAGGAAAA